UUCCCUUCCCCAAAGGAUUUAUUAAAACACAGAAACCAAAACAUACACACAGAGUACAAAGUAAAGGGGACUGUGCUGGCUACAGUCUGCCCAGCCUCCCUCAGGCCAGGACCGGGGACAAGUCACAAGUCACAGGGGGCCCAGCAUCAGAGCUCCGACCUCUCCCCGCUGGGACCCUGGCUGCGCGCCCCAGCUUGCCCAAGGCCCUCAGCUGGGGACAGUGCGACCCCAGACUCAACCCAGGCCGGCUCCGUUCUGUAGGAGAAGAGUUCAGGACACACACACACCCCAACGGGCCCUUUCUGGGUCACCGCACCUAAAAAAAUACUUUGUUAAAAAAAAAAUCUGAAAAUUAAGGGGGGGAAGAUGAAGCACAACAACGCCAGUGCCUUUGGGCUGAUGUACCACAACUGUAAACUCCGGUGUGUAAAGCGGGGUGGGCACACUUCCUCCUUUCUAGACCAACUGGUGCCCAUGGGCACUGCCAGGCCACCCAACAGUGGGCAGACGGCAGCGUGGCCUCACCUCUCUCCUGGUCCCCUCCUCUUUCUAAGCCAUGCUGGAGGCUCCAGGUGACCUGCGCUUGGCACCCAGAGGGGCCUCCCCCCACACCCUCUGCUCCACCCACCAGCAGCACCUGGGACAGAUGGAGGGACCCAGGCACCCGGAUGACCUUCCGCACAGGGGAGAAGCCAGGUUCACAGGACAAGGGGAGCUUCAAAGGUUGCUUUCCAGGGGCAUCUCCUCCGCUCAGGCUGGUCCCCGGGACACAGCAUGCUUCAUGGCUCCAUGCCCAACUGCCAGUGUCACCUGAGCUCCCUCUGAGACCUUUGACCAGAGGUGGUUCUGCAGAAACCCAGCCCUGCUGGGGAACUAACGUGGCAGGAAAGCGUGGACGUGGGCUGCCAGCGGAGACUUGGCAACACACAGGUUCCCCCAUUCUGCGAGCAGCAAAACCCAGCCCCUGCUUUGCUCAGGGCCCCCUUGCAAUGCUCCCCACCUCCCGGGGCACCCCACUCCUGCCCCCCUCGGAUCUGGAUGAAGACAGGUGUGUGGGAAGCCAGCCACAGUGGAAGGGGCUUAGGGGUCUGGCCUCUGGGGGUUCAGAGAAAGAGCCACACUGCAGACAAGGACACCUGGGGCUCAGCGAGGGCCCAGCAAUCCCCAGGGAUCCAUGACACUGUGUCUCCACACCUUCCUCAGAGAGCCCAGCCAGUGCGCUCCUGCUGCACGUGCUCAGGGUUCCCUCCUCACGCUCGGAGAGUCUGUCUCCCGGGUCCCCAGGGAAACUCCCAGCUCCUCUCCACCCUCAGGCCAGCCAGGCCACCGCACAGUACCACAGAGGCACCCCAGCGCUGUACCCAGGAGAUGGGCCGAGGCUCCCGGAGGCUGCUCCUGCAGGGAAUCAGGCAGGCUGCCUGGGAGACAGGGCCACUGGGUCCAGUCCCGGCCCUCCAAGAACUCAGCAAAGUACAUGGUGCCCCAAAGGGACAGGAGAGAGAUGACGCCUGCCCCCAGGUGGUCUGGUUCCCUAGGUGUCUGUGGCCCAGGGGCGUCUGGACAGGGAAGUCUGUACCCAGAGGGGAGUGGGACUGCUGGGCCACCCUGUGACCACGACCCUCUCUGCCGGGGCUGGAGCUGCGCCUGCCUGCAACCACACUUCCGGCAGAUGGGGACCCUCUGCCCCUCCCACAGUGGCUGUCAGUUUCAGGCCCUGCCCACUCUAGGACAUACACUUUGGCCUGCCCUGGGCCCUAAGGCCACUGCCCCUCAGCUGGAACCACAGAGUCCCCGCCCCCUGGACAGGCUGGGCCAGGGGACAGACGCGUGCCCACCUUCCCCAGGGGACAGCCUCUAUCUGAGGGUCCCCAGGCCUGGCAUGAAGGGAGCGGGGAAACACCUCCGGACCUGGUACCAGGCAGUGUCCCACCCACGGGCCAGACAGCCACUCCCUGCCUGCCCACCCAGCAUCAGGGUCCCAGGCAGGCAGGGGACAGAGCAGAAGGGCGUCACAAAGCCAGAUGGACAGGGCGAGGGACACUAAAGGCUACUCAGGUCACCAGGGGGCUGCUUCCUCUCUGGCUGAGCAGUCAGGGAGUUUUCCCUUCGGUCCAGAGCCUGGUACAGGGCCUUGGGUGCUCCAGGCCAGGAUCCUCCAUAUGUCAGCCACCUUUUAUCAAGACAAAAGCAUCCGAGGUCUCCGAUAGGAAAGUGCACAGAUGUACAGAUAAAUGAAUCUCCUCUAGGAGUCGCUCUGAGAGGGGUGGAGGGGCACAUCCUGCGUGGCCGUGGGUGCAGUGCCACGUGGAAGAAGACUUGAAUUACGACGAGAUGGUGCCUCCGGGCUCUGGCCCAGCCGGGCCGGGCCUCGUCCUCCAUGUGAUAGCAUCCCUUCGGUUUCCCUUUUUUGUCCCGAGGGGCACUGGCU
ensembl:lncRNA